rnacentral:rRNA from 1 species
AUUGAACGCUGGCGGCAUGCCUUACACAUGCAAGUCGAACGGUAACAGGUCUUCGGAUGCUGACGAGUGGCGAACGGGUGAGUAAUACAUCGGAACGUGCCCGAUCGUGGGGGAUAACGAAGCGAAAGCUUUGCUAAUACCGCAUACGAUCUACGGAUGAAAGCAGGGGACCGCAAGGCCUUGCGCGAACGGAGCGGCCGAUGGCAGAUUAGGUAGUUGGUGGGAUAAAAGCUUACCAAGCCGACGAUCUGUAGCUGGUCUGAGAGGACGACCAGCCACACUGGGACUGAGACACGGCCCAGACUCCUACGGAGGCAGCAGUGGGGAAUAUUGGGCAAUGGAGGAAACUCUGACCCAGCGACGCCGCGUGAGGGAUGAAGG